rnacentral:tRNA from 1 species
GCUUGUGUGGUGUAGUGGUUUGAGUGUUGGACUGUGACUCUGGAGACCAGGGUUCAAAUCCUGGUUUGACUU